GUGAAUCAUCAAAUUUUUGAACGCAAAUUGCACUCUCUUCGGAGAGUAUGCCUGUUUGAGGGUCAGCCUAAAAAAAUCGACAUAGUCGCUGUUUCGCGGUGACAUUCGUCGGAAAUUGGGUCAUCUUAAACUUUUGGUUUUAAGCCGCCUAAAAUUUUUCUUACCAAUUCACCAACGUUUUCAAAGUUUAACUACACGGUUAA
rnacentral:misc_RNA from 1 species